rnacentral:rRNA from 1 species
GAUGAACGCUGGCGGCGUGCCUAAUACAUGCAAGUCGAGCGCUGAAGCUUGGUGCUUGUACCAAUUGGAUUAGCGGCGAACGGGUGAGUAACGCGUGGGUAAUCUGCCUUUUAGCGGGGGACAACAUCGGGAAACGAAUGCUAAUACCGCAUAAUAACUUUAAACGCAAGUUUUAAGUUUGAAAGAUGCCUUUGCAGCACUCAAAGAUGAUCCCGCGUUGUAUUAGCUAGUUGGUGAGGUAAAGGCCCACCCAGGCGAGGAUACAUAGCCCACCUGGGAGGGUGAUCGGCCCCAUUGGGACUGAGACACGGGCCAAAAUCCUACGGGGGGCAGCAGUAGGGAAUCUUCGGGAAUGGGCGAAAAUCUGACCGGGCAACGCCGCGUGAGUGAAGAAGGGUUUCGGGUCGUAAAAAUCUGUUGGUAGGGAAGAAAGUAGGUGAGAGUGGAAAGCUCAUCAAGUGACGGUAACUAAACAGAAAGGCACGGCUAACUACGUG